UACGCAGGGGGCUAGCGUUGCUCGGAAUCACUGGGCGUAAAGCGCACGUAGGCGGGUCGCUAAGUCAGGGGUGAAAUCCUGGAGCUUAACUCCAGAACUGCCUUUGAUACUGGCGACCUUGAGUCCGGGAGAGGUGAGUGGAACUGCGAGUGUAGAGGUGAAAUUCGUAGAUAUUCGCAAGAACACCAGUGGCGAAGGCGGCUCACUGGCCCGGUACUGACGCUGAGGUGCGAAAGCGUGGGGAGCAAACAGG
rnacentral:rRNA from 1 species